rnacentral:rRNA from 1 species
GGGGCUAGCGUUGCUCGGAAUCACUGGGCGUAAAGGGUGCGUAGGCGGGUCUUUAAGUCAGGGGUGAAAUCCUGGAGCUCAACUCCAGAACUGCCUUUGAUACUGAAGAUCUUGAGUUCGGGAGAGGUGAGUGGAACUGCGAGUGUAGAGGUGAAAUUCGUAGAUAUCAGGAAGAACACCCGUGGCUAAGGCGGCUCUCUAGUACGUGACUGACGCUGAGGCGCGAAAGCGUGGGGAGCAAACAGG